rnacentral:rRNA from 1 species
GGAUGUUAGCGGCGGACGGGUGAGUAACACGUGGGUAACCUGCCUGUAAGACUGGGAUAACUCCGGGAAACCGGAGCUAAUACCGGAUAGUUCCUUGAACCGCAUGGUUCAAGGAUGAAAGACGGUUUCGGCUGUCACUUACAGAUGGACCCGCGGCGCAUUAGCUAGUUGGUGAGGUAACGGCUCACCAAGGCGACGAUGCGUAGCCGACCUGAGAGGGUGAUCGGCCACACUGGGACUGAGACACGGCCCAGACUCCUACGGGAGGCAGCAGUAGGGAAUCUUCCGCAAUGGACGAAAGUCUGACGGAGCAACGCCGCGUGAGUGAUGAAGGUUUUCGGAUCGUAAAGCUCUGUUGUUAGGGAAGAACAAGUGCAAGAGUAACUGCUUGCACCUUGACGGUACCUAACCAGAAAGCCACGGCUAACUACGUGCCAGCAGCCGCGGUAAUACGUAGGUGGCAAGCGUUGUCCGGAAUUAUUGGGCGUAAAGGGCUCGCAGGCGGUUUCUUAAGUCUGAUGUG